GAUGAAGCGAGGAGGUGUCCAUGAAGAGGUCAACUGCACGUCAUUUCUAUCAACAGUACUUUUUGGCGACCCGGGGAGCGUCCUGGCUGGCCCGUCAGUGCGCAGAGUUACGGCUGAAAAUACUGGACGAUCUGAUGCAGUGGGAAGUUACGAACCCGACCUCGGAGGGCUGAAUCGCCUCGAUCAUGUGUGACUGAGUAUUGGUGCUAAUCACCCGCCAGCAAAAUGUUUUUGCUGGCUUUUUU
rnacentral:sRNA from 1 species